GCUUCCUGGCCCAAAGUAAACACGUUGUAAAUUCUUGUUGAAUGAAUAUUAUGUAUACACAUACGCUAUUAGCCACUUAGUGAUUCAGACACAAAUGUACAAAUAUGAAGAGCCCAGGCGCUGCUCCCUGAGCAAUUUACGAGAAGGGAUACUGAAGCCCUUCCAGAAGUCUGGAGUUUUUCACUGAUGCAAUUACACUAUGACCAGAAUUUCUGAAGUUUUUGGUCUUUCUGUAAUAGAUAUGAAAUAGCUGCUAAAACAGUGAGUAUCGUUUGUAUUUAAAGGAAGAAGGAGAAAAAAAGGACAAAAAGUCAGUAAUU
rnacentral:lncRNA from 1 species